UCCAUCCUGGGCUCCUCCUGCCCUGAGCAUUACAGGGAAUAAGAGUGGCAGUGGUACUGGACAACAGGGUUACAGCAGAUUCUUGAUUUAGCCUCUUCAGUGUCUUUGCAAUCUGUCUAUUGUUACAUCUGUUCCUCGUCCAAGCUGCAGUCGUCUCUUACCUAAACAACUGCCUUUGCCUCUCCUCCACUAGGGACGUGUGCAGAAAACAGGGCCCCCAGGACUUCUGUCCAGUCACUAAUUGAGGAGUCAGCCUAGGAACAGAAGGGAGGACAGGCAGCAUGGGAGAAGAAAGACCCUUUCGGAUUGCAGGCCACCGCUUUGGACAGCCAGGACCUGCUUGGGACCUUCUGAGGGCUUUGGAAUGCUCUGGGCCUGCGCAUUGCAGCCAGUGCCCAGCCUCUGCUGGUUGAAGGUUGCUCUGGGAAGCGCAGUCUCCCCAGUACAUCCAGCUUGUCCCUGUCCAGGACCUGCAGAGCUGCCUGCACCAGUGUGGUUGAAGGUGUAUGGUAAGAGGCACCGGAGCCAGGAGGCUCUUCCCUCCUGCCUCUGGGUCCAUCUGUGUGAGCCUCAAACACCUCCACACGUGUAUGGUCAGCUUUCCAUUGCUGUGCCGAACAGGAGCGAUGAUCACCUGGAAGGAGAACUUCACACUGGCUAGUGGUGUCAGAGGCCUCAGUCCACGGCUGUUUGGUCUUUGGCUUCGGGCCUCCAUUUAGGGGAGACUGAGUGGCUCAGGAGGCCUCUGGACCUCAUGGUGUCUGGAAAGUAAAGAGAGAGAGAAGAGGGCCAGGGAACGCCCAGCCACCUAACUUCCCUCCACUAGGGCCACUCCUAUAGGGCUCACUGCCUCCCCAGCUCAGGGCUGAUCCCUAGUCAGCUGGCUGUCCAUUUCUCCCCACCCCCUUCUUCUGCCACUCCUCCAUCCCUCCGAAGAGUUGUACAGAGCGGCUUGGCUUCCUGUGGAAAGGGAAGCAGCCACCCCUUGUCCUCCACUCCACCCUGCUGCAGUCAGACACCUCCCAGCAGGGAGUCUGAGGCCCGGAGCCAAUGCCCAGGUUCCUGCUAGGCCUGUGGCAGACACAGCAUGUCCCGCUCCCACACCAGCUCGGACAGUGCUGCCCUACAGAGCAUGGGACUGGUGGAGCCUCUCCUGGGCUCAGGUAGAAAAGGCACGCGUUUGUCUUUGGCAGCAAGAGAGCACAGACAUCUUUUAAAGAAAGUCAUCCGCUAUGUGUCAGAAUAGUGGAGCCAGUUAAUAUUUUAUUAUUGUUUAACUCCAGGGAUGGGGGUGGAGCAGGGAGUUACUUUCCAUGUUCAAGACAAACGCAGUCCUGAGGCUUGCAGUUUUAUGGUAGCACUGGUUGCCAGAGUUCCUUUUCCUUCUGACUCUAGAGGGAAAAAAUAAAAAAUUAAUUACCUACUUACAGAUCAAUUGCAUCUUCCACUGCACAGAACAGGCUGCUGCUAGGGUGGGAAGCCUUUGAGCCAGGUCGCCUUCCUAGGGAUCUUGUGAGGAAGGCCUCAGACUAGGCGGCCCUUACCCCGCUCCUCCAGGACAGGGGUUCCAGCCCAUGCAGCUGAGACACCCUCCCCAAAUCAGUUCAGAGCCAAAGGGUAUCAAUCAGUGCCCUGAGAGUGACAUAUUUCCUUGGGUCUUCUCUGUAUUUGGUUUCCUUUGGAAUCUGGGUCUCAUGGGACAUAUGCUGGACCUUUUAUAGAUGAAGCUUUGGGAUGACACCUUGGGAGAGUGGGGAAAGCUGGAAGAGGAAACGGGAAGAGGUCAAUGUGGGUGUGGUGUGCGUGUGCAGGAGGCAACCGAAAGGAAUGCAGGGGUGAAGGACAGAAGUGGGGUGAGACGUAUGGCUGCAGUAGAAUUAAACUUGGGGAUCUGGUAUGUUGGGUGGGAUGGGCUCUGGGAUGACAGCUGGGGACUUUUUAUAUCUAUAGUAACGCUUGUCAGUCCGUAGAAGUGUCUAUCUCUGCAUCUGAUCCCAGCUUGCCUUUCUCCUUUCCUUCCUGCAUCAGCAAAUCUUUCUGAGCACAUGCUGCCAGCCAGCUCGUGGCAUGAGCUCCUCUCUGCUCUCUGCUGUCAGGGAACCUGGCAAUUGUACUCCUGGAAUCCAAUGUCGCUCCACAGGCCGAUGGACGCUGAAACCCGGGAGGCCCACUGGAGAGGGGGAGAACCAGCAGUGUCUCCUGAGAUCCACGCCAUGUUGAAACUUAGGACUCUGGGAAGCCAAGCAAGCACCUCCCCUCCCUGGUAAGCAGAGGCAGUGUGGCAGACUGCAGCCCUUCCAGGGGGAGAACCAGCAGCAGCUCCUGAGAUCCAUACCGUUGGAACUGAGGACGCUGUGAAGCCAAAUGACCAUCCUGCCUCCCUGCUAAGCAAUAGUGAACCUACUGCUACAUGGCCUAGAGUCAAAUAUCCCACUUCCCGUAUCCUCCUUCUCCCCCCGCCCCACCCAGCCCACUAGCAAAUGGGAUCCAGAAAUCUGAGCGUCUCCUGGGAGGUUGACCAUAGCAAAUAAGGGGGACUUCCUUCUACCAUUUCUUUGAAGGCAAAUAUUUUUAUUACUGUUUUGCUCUUUUCUGAUUAAUGGUACUGCUCUAUUCAAUAUUCUGUUUUGAUAAGUUCUAUAGUGUUCUAUCUUUCAUCUCAUUUUGAUAUACGUGAUUGAAAGAACAACUAUUACAAAGAUAACAAAAUAUACUGUGAUACCUAUUACUGUUAUCCCGGUAACCUGCUGUGAAGUUCUGUACCAAUUUCACUGUACGAUCUUAGUUGGCUUUAUUCUGACUUGUUCUGUUGUAUACUUUCAAAAUAAAAUUUAAAAAAAGAAGAAAAAAUAAAAUUCCACAUAUUAGGGGCAGGGAUUUACCUUAGUGGUGCAGCUCCUGCCCUGACAAAUGUGAGGUCCUGAGUUCAAUUCCUGGUAUCAAAAAAGUAAAGUAAACAGUAAAAUAAAUUCCACAUAUUUUUAGAUUUCCAUGUGCUAUGGAAAACAAAUAACAUGUGAGGAAAUGACACUGAGGAGGCUUAGGAGACAGUUUAUUACACCAGUUGGCCUGAGUGGGAUCUCUCCCAAAGAGUCACAGCCUUGCCUGGGAUGUGUGUGUGGGGGGAUGUUGGGUCUUUUAUAGGGAGAGCAAGGGGGAAAUACAGAGACAGAUUUGGUGCAUUAUGACUGGGUGGGUGACAUGACAGGUUGCCAAGAGAGUUUAAACAUUUCAAGUUACAUUGCAAGGCCAUCAGUUAAACAAGCAUCAGUUACACACAGGAGGGAAUGUUCCAUUGUCAGGGUUAUCGAGAUGUAUCUGCUUGGUUUUGGUGGGCACUCUUGGUGAGCUUUCUUGGCAAGCUUUUGUUGAACAUUUCUAUUUCCCCUUCACAUGUAUUUGUGGAUUUGUAGAUUUUGGGGGUUCUGCUAUUAGUUUCUACUUUUAUUUCACUGUGGUUGGAAAAGAUAGUUUAUAUGACUUUGAUCUUUUAAAAUUAAGACUUGUUUUGAGACCUCACAUAUAUCUAUAAUGGAGAAUACUCCAUGCGUACUUGAUAAAAUGGUGCAUUCUGCAUAUGUCUAAGAGGUCCAGUUGAUUUGGAUGUUCAAAUACUGUUUCCUUUAUUAUCUUCUGCUUGGUGGUUUACCAAUUAUUUAAAUCCUAGGAUAGAAAUCUACUAGAUUGUAGAACUGUUUCUUCAUAUCUGUCAAAAUUUAUUUUGUGUAUUUUGGAGCUCUGGUACAUAUAUGUUUAUAUUUGCUGCAUCUUCUUAGUUGAUUGAUCCUUGUAGGAAUAUAUAAUGUCUGUUAUCUCUCAUAGAGUUUUUAACUUAAAAUGUAUUUUGUUGGUAUUAAUAUAAUA